GCGAGGAGGAGGUGGAGGUGGAACGGGUCACGUGAUUACUGUAUUAACGGAGCGGGGAGGCGGGCUGCAUGAAGUGCGCACGCGCACGGCUGCAUGGGCUGUAGAGGACCCUGCGGCGGGCGGGUGCGCGAGCGUGUGUCUGUGCUUUGCGGAGGGGAACAGGGCUGUGCAAACCCCGCGUCUUUUACUGUGUUAUCCGAGCUGCCAGCUGCAGCGCUUCGGAGGCAUGCAUUGUUUAGGGGGAAAAGUAAAGACUGGUUGCUGACUGGCUUUGUCCCUGUCUCCCCCGCCUCCAUCCCCUUCCCCUUCCCUUUUAUGGUGGAAACAACUAGUCGCUGCUUGGGCAUCAAUCCAGCCCAGAGCAUACUAGCACCUCCCCACUGCAAAACAGGGAAGCAGCCACUGUGUGGUCACAAUCACAUUCACCCGUCAGAGGCUGAGAACAAGUGUAGCUGCUGUUCCUGCACUUGCACAAAAAUUCUGAUCUAUCCCGGAACAAUAGUACCAUAAAUACCUGCAUCCUGCCAAAUUUUAGACUAGUCCGCCAAAAAAAAAAUACGGAUUUUAGCACAUCCUUUUACAUUUAACUUCAAUUUGGUGUUUGUAUUCCGCUGGAUAUGGCUAAUUUUGGCUGCAUAACUGCCCUUUCCCCCAGUUUUAGCAUCUCAAUUUAGUACAUAGAUGUGCAGCAUGUUCUAGUCCACCAGAAGAAAACAGGUCUCAAACUAUCAUGGUACAAAAUCUAGCUGUUCCAAGUUUUUGCAGCACUGUUAUGCCAGGAUGCAUUGGACUCUGGAGUUUUUGAUGCAACAGAAGCAGCUAGACUUCUUGAAUCAGUGAAAAUUUGGGUGUUGGGGUUAAAACUGGCAAGAUACAGCUUUUACCUAGAGGAUAGUCCCACUUUGAUUUGUAAAUGCUCUACUUUUAGUUCUGUGCUGCCAAGGUUUUAUGACUGAGUAACCCUGUGAUAUGUAGGAGAAAGGGAUUUAUAUAUGACCUUUUGUCCUUUAGUUUAAGGAACAUACUAUAUUUGGUGCCUAAUACCCUUAUCCUAUAGUAAGUCACUAUAUGAUGUACUUUGUCCUGUGCUGCAGCAAUAAUCGUGUGUGACUUUGUAGCACACAAACUAUUUUAUAUAGAAAUCUAUAUUAUACUAUAGAAAUCAGAUUUGGUAUUUUAAUACGUUUAUCCUUUAUUUCAUUUAUCAGUAGGUGGUCACCCUAGGAUAAGAUAGUGACAGGGAUAUUACCUGUCUUUUUCUUUUAUCUAAUACAUUUUAAAAAGAGAAAUGUACAUAUAAUAUCAUUGCCAUGUUGAGUCUGCCAUCCCAGGUUUAUCCUGGCAAUUAUAUUACGAAUGAACCAAAACUGAGAUCUUGAAUCUGCCCCCUUUCAAAUUCCAGGGUGUACAGAUCCAAACCUACCUGUAAAAUUUUAGUUUCAGAACAUAAACAAAACCAGAAGAGGCCUAUUUUCUAGUUGGAAGUAUAGCUGUUCUUGUGGAUCCCAAUAUUUAGUCCUAAAUGGUGGAAAUCUCAUAAGAGCAGCUGAUCUUGGUGAUAUUGACCAUUCGUGAUGGAGGAGAACUCUAGAUCAAUUAAACUCACAAGAUUUCCACCAUUGUGGGCUGAAAUCUUAUUGAAAUAGCUCACAAGAGUUGGGUACUGUUGAAUUCCAACCUUUGUUUUUGAUUGCUAAUCUGAACCUUAUCUGGAUAUAACAAUACAUUCUCUCCCCAUUUCUAAAUAUUAUAGACUUUGUUGAAAAUCUCUUAUUAAUAUAGCACCACUAGUUCACAUCCUGCACAUUGUGAGGUGUGCUAGACAAUCUCAGAAACAAGGUGGGUGAGGUAAUAUCUUUCAUUGGACCAACUUCUGUUGGUGAAAGAGGAAAGCUUUCCUGAGACUGACCUGGCUACCACUACACUGCAUACAACAGUGGAAGAUAAUCUCAGUUACAGUAAGUACAAAAGAAGACAGCCCAGUGUGAAUGUAUUUUAUCUGAGUCUGGGGUGGGCAAACUUUUUGGCCUGAGGGUAUGGAAAUUGUGUGGCGGACCAUGAAUGCUCACAAAAUUGGGGGUUGGGGUGUGGGAGGGGCUGAGGGCUCUGGCUGGGGGUGUGGGCUGUGGGGUGGGGCUGGCGAUGAGGGGUUGGGGGUGCAGGCGGGGGCUCCAGGCUGGGACCGAGGAGUUUGGAGGGCAGGAAAGGGAUCAGGGCUGGGGCAGAGGGUUGGGGCCUGGGCAGCGCUUACCUCAAGCAGCUCCUGGAAGCAGCGGUAUGUCCUCCCUCCAGCUUCUACUUGGAGGCGCAGCCAGGCCACUCUGCGCAUUGCCCUGUCCGCAGGCACCGCCCCUGGAGCUCCCAUUGGCCAUGGUUCCCAGCCAAUGGGAGCUCCGGGGGCAGUGAGGGGAGCCCUCUGGCUACCCCUACAUGUAGGAGCAGGAGGGGGGACAUGCUGCUGCUUCGUGGAGCCAUGGCAUGCAUGGAGCAGGGCUGACCCCGCUCCCCAGCUGGAGCACUGGAGUGGGACAAGCCCUGGAUCCUGCUCACCGGCAGGAACUUGAGGGCUGGAUUAAAACAUCUGGAGGGCCGGAUGUGGCACCCAGAUCGUAUUUGUCCACCUCGAUCUAAGUACUUAUAUGGCCUGUAUCAACAUAGUGUCUGAGUGCCUGAAGAGUAUUUAAAAAUAGAAACAACAAUCUCUGUCUCUUCCUUCCUUUCCAGCCACCAGGAGAAAUAGCUUUAUUAGUUCAUGGUGAGCUUUGUGUAUGUAUAUAAUGUAUUGAAGACAACCUACCAUAAGUCAAAGAGAUUAGUUUUAUAUUUACAGCUAAACACAGGAAAGUUAAUAGCUGGAAUGCAUCAGAAACAGAUGGAUCUUCAUGGAUUCCAUCUUCCUCUUUUGAUGAAAACCAGAUAGCAACAUUUUCCAUAAAGUAAACUAAAAGACAAGGGCGGCAUUUUUUCAUGAAGAAAAAAAUGUGUGCCAAGGUCCUAGAUUUCAUGAUGUGAGUAGGGUUUUCAGUCUUAAGCGGAACGUGGGAAAGAGUACAACAUAAGGCACACAUAGAAAGUCUUUUAUUCAGAAUUUUGGGGUGGGGUGUGGAAGAAUACCUGUGUACUUCCAGUCUUCUUAUAUGGAUCUGAAACAUGGACAUUGCUUAAAGAAUUCAUCAGGAGGCUGGAGGCAUUUUAUAUGCAUUGGUAGUGGCAAUUACAGGGCAUAAGAUGGUUUGAUUUUAUCAGUAAUAGGGAGAUAUUAUUGAGAACUGCCUUGGAGAGGAUAGAAAUCAUUGGUCACCACCGGCAGGCACUUUUUGGUUACCACCGGCAGCCCCCAUCGGAGAUAAAGUGCUCACAAAUUGAGCCCAGAAGAUCAGACUUGAGGUCAGGAGGGGACAUUGUCCGGCCACAGGCUGGUGGCAGCUGCAGUCUUCAGCGAUUAACUUGGCUGCACCAGAUCGGUGAUAACCCUAUGAAGCUUUCAGAGGCCUGGAAUAAAGCUGUACAAUGUGACCAUGGACAUUCAGCAAAUAGAUCCUUAUCAUGUAAGCGUUGUGCUGGUGGUGUUGAUUUGAAAUGGUAGAAGUGAUAGUUACCCAUACAAAAAUAAGAAAUUAUUGUCAGAUAAUUUAACUGAAAAAGAAAUAGGCAAUUUGCAGUGUAAAUUGGCAUAUUAUGCAAAUUAAGAUAAUUUUAUCAUAAUACUUAGCACUGGUAUGGCACAUUAUGUUUUCAAAGCCCUGUACAAACAUUAACUAUGUCUUAUACUCCAAUCCACAAAUUGAUGUUAUAAGAGACAUUUAGAUCCUCCCAAAAGAGUAUUUUAUUCACAGGAUUGGGUGGGAAAGUAGUUGGACUGGUACAAAUGACAUCUUUUUCAGAGCAGUUUCAAGAACUGCAUCAUGUUACAUUUUGAGCUUUCAACUAAUGCUGCUAAACAGGUUUGUGCAUUAUUCUUGUGUAUCCUGAAAUGUUUAAGUGCACAUUGUUUGGUUACUCCAAUAACCUCUAAUCCAUAGCAUUGUAGAAACAUCUAAAUCAGCCGGGAAAGGCUGAGAUUGUGAGAGGGAUUUAGAGAAGCAACCUAGGAGUUAGGGCUCUGUCCCACAGCAGGGAGGCCAGAAGACAAGCUGAUGAGCCCAAGUGGGGCAAAAGAACUUCUUUGUUGGGACUUUUGUUACCCUGAAAGGGAAUGGAACUCUGAUGGUGACCUAGCUGGAGAGCUAAGCCCUGGGAAUUCCUGGGAGAGAGAAAAGACCCUGGGGAGGGAAAACUGAGGCAGACUGCUGUAAAGCCACCUGAGGCCAUGAGGAGGUGCUUAGGAAGUGGCUGCCUGAGCACAGGGACAUUUAAAAAUAUCAAAAAUUGCACAGCAGUCUUUGUGGGAGCAGGUUGUUGAUGGUUGCCAACUUUCUCUCCCCAUGAAAAAUCAUUGCCCCCUCUCUCUUGAUCCUUUCUGAGCUGUGUUGAGAUCUAAGGGGAUUUGUAUUUGAACAAUGUUUCUUGGUUGAAUUGACAUACUGCUUCUUGCACAAUUUGUUAUUACAAGUUUUUCUAAUGGCUUGUCUUGAAUGGCUGUUUCAUUGUUACCUUGAAUAAAUGAUUUAUUGCCUGUUUUUAGUGUUGUAGAGCUCUUUGUUCUACACUUCUAUUUCCUUUUUCUUGCAGAAAUAAUUCCUUAGUUUUCUUCCUAUGCAAUUAUAGCUUAUGAGUCUGUGACCAAAGAAAAAGGGGAACUGCUUUUCUCUUACAGCAAUCUGAGCUGCAGUUUGCAACUGAAGUUGGUUCUAGCUGUUUAAAAAGCACUGGAGUUUUAAAAAUGACCUCAGUGUGGGGGAAAAGUGGGUUCAUGCCCUGUUUUGCUUCUUCAUAAUGUAGCAGGAACACCUGUACUUAAUUUUUUUCCCUUAUUUCUUUUUACACUAGGUAUUCAAGUUUUGUUCACUUUUUCUUUCCUGGAAGACUCCAUGGUUAACUGGGAGAACUAGUGCGUUUGUGACAAUGAGAUACCAUGCAAUUCCAGCCUGGUUAUCUGAGAGAGGAAGUGAUUUGUGUUCAGACUAUGUGAACCACUUUGUUUUUUAGCCCCAAUUUAAAUCAAGACCCUGGUGAACAGUCAGAAGAAACACUCUUAUUAAAGCUCCAGUGACUGAUAUCAAUUGUUAAGUUAUCGGCUUCUCUCCGACAGUUCAGUAUGUAUGUUCAGUCAAGCAGUGCUCUUCUUGUAACUGACUACAUUCCUUUUCUAACUUGUUGUGGAAUAACUUCUUCUCAGGGCCACCCUAGAGAGGCAACUAUGACAAAUCCAUGUAAAUAUUCUGAAAAUAAUCUCCUUAUAGGAACAGAUAAAACUAUACAAAAGGAGGAAAAAACCCUGAAUCUUGCUUGGCUGACCUUUUGGUCAACCAGCUGAUGGGUGUGGUGAAGUUAUUGCUGUAAUAGUACUUAUUACAAAUUGUCCUCUCUAUCAUAGGAGUUUGACUUAGUUUAAACAUUUUUGUUUGGUUUAUAGUCAAGACCUUUCUUAAAGUUAGCUUGUUCACUCUCUGGGGAAGGAUAAAUAUCAGUGUCAUCUACCAUCCAUACUGCUAAACCAAUCAACUUCCCUGUACCCACCUCUACAAAAACAACAUUGUAAAUUGUAAUGACUUCAAACACUGCAGCGUUUAUUACUAGUUAUGCAUUAUAAUAGCAUGAUUAGAUGCAGCAAGACAAUGUGAGCAUCUCUGAAGUAUAAUGGCCUGGCAGGCUACUGGUAAUGCAACAUGCUGUCAUGUGGAAGACUAACAUCUAGGUCCAAGGUCAGGUCCUCACUUCCUGGGCCAGCAGAAUAGAGGGGUACUGCAGAGGUUCCAGUCAAAACAAGCGCCAGUCUUCUGUGGCUGGAGUAUGGCAAGUAGUCUUGGUGAUGUUGGGUUUGUAGCAAGGACAGUCGCUGAAUGAUAAGAAAAAUCCACUAGAGGCUGAGAUGUGUUUGACAGUCACCCUUUCUGGGUUGGGUUUUGUUGCAUGGGUUCUGUAUGAUGUCCAACUUGGCAAAAGCUUCUACCUGCAUUCUUCCACACGGUUUAAAAAGUAGUAGACUCAAAACGAUAAAAUACAAACCAAACUGGGUUGCUCUUGUAUUUCCUCAGCACUCUCUGCCCUGACUUCUAGAACACAGAAUGCCUAUACUGCUGUCUUCUGCCUAGAACUAAUCCACCCUUCUUUUAAGGGAGUUAGCAGCACCUAAUCAGAUGCUAGCUCAGGAUAUCUCCCUGUGUUGCGUCUGAACUCUAGCAGGAGAUGAUCAUUAACAUAUCCAAUAUAUAAACAGGGGAAACUGAGGCACUGUGCGGUUAAGUGGCUUGUCUUAGCUCUCACAAUGUGUCAGUGUCAGAGUUGGAAACAGAAACAAAAGGGAUAUAGAGUAAUAAUCUCUCUCUCUUUCUGGCCCAGAAACUGUUCAAAUAUUUUCUACAAACUGGAACAGCUUCAACAGGAGAGAUUGAGAAAAACCCAGUACAGAAUAUCCCACAGCCCAGUUGUUAGGGACUCACCCAGAUGGAGGAAGCCCCAUGUUCAAGCCCCUGUUCCAAUGAAUAUUCAAGUAUUUUAUACAAAGUGGAACAGUUUCAACAUGACAGACUGAGAGGGACACACCCAAGAAUAGCCUACAGCCUGGUAGUUAGGACACCCACCUGGAAUACGGGUGAGGGAAGGGGAGAUCUGGAUUCUAAUCUCUGCUCCAGACCAGAGCAGAGGUUUGAACCUGAGUCUUCCCUCUUCCAGAUGGGUGCCCUAACCACUGGGCUAAAGGCUAUCCAAGGGACUUCACUUACUCAGCUGUGCGUUUUAUGAAUGGUACCAAGGUCCCCAUGUGAAUUUAGUUUUUUUUUUUUUAAAUGGCCAAAACUAUUGAGCAAAUUCAUUAAUAGUUUCAGGCUGACUGAAACUGCAUUUUUCAUGGAAUAAACUAUUUGAAAAAUUUUGCUGGACCCCAUGUGGGAUGCUUUCCAAAAAAAUCCUGCAAAGACUGAACUCUGGCCUGUAUUUCAGCAAAGAGUUACACUAAGGUGCAGGAAAGGGGAGUGCACCAGUAGCAGUUGUACAUUAAUUUAGCCCAUCCCAUUAUACAAAUUGAUUCCUGCAAAUGUUGGGUUUCAACAUAGAAAAAUGUUUGUACAGUUUCAACUCUGUUCUCACAACUUUAUACUGCUCUCCCCAGAUAAAACCAAUAUAUCCCUGAUCUCUUUUGUGUCCCACCUGAUCCUAUCUAUAAGAUGCUUCUCCUUUAAAAAAUAAAAAGGAAAAGAAAGGAAAUUCCCAGUUAAAAACUUAUCUUCAUUAACUUCUCAAAUAAUAAUGAUCAGUUAAAGUAAGGUGGAUAGAGAUCUGAAUAUCUUACAAUUCUUGUAGAUUGGAUUCCCAUAUCUGCUGCAGUCUCAGACUGUAUUAUCUUUUCUGCAGAUUCUGCAUGAGGUUGAUGGAGGGACAAUGUACAUCUUACAUUGCCUCUCUGCCUUCCAAACCCUGCAGAGAACUUCCAUGUACCAGAGAUUAAGGAUGUGUGCCAUGGAGCAGGGCUGACCCCCUACUUUUGUACAGGAACAAAGAGAUCUGUGCACAGAAAAGAUCUUCCAUAUGGCAAUCUGUGGGGGAUGGAGAAGAAUAACAACAAUCUGGCUCUAGAGUAUUAAGACAAAGCUGUGCUUAUUUAUCAUUGUAACCAUUAUGAUUUAUCCGCAUUUGCAAAGCAUCAAACAUCAUAAUGGAUCUGGGCCCAAUUUUUUAAAACAGUAGCACACUGCCAGAAAAUGGCAAAAAAAGGACAGUCUUCAUAUAUCCUGGACCACCACCAUAAUUUAAAGGAACUCAGAAGCGCUAUUUCCCCAUGAAUACAUCCUUGAUCCUAAUGAUAUUUCUGUAAAUGUUUUAAGUAAAACAUGUUUUCCCUUCCAAAUGUGUUCUGUAAUUUGAUGCCUUCAAAGAAAGGUUGUAUGAGUCAUCUUCAUGAAACAUGCAACUGAGGUGCAUCACUGUGUAGCCAACUAAAAUAUCCAAGUACUAUUAGCAGUGUUAUGUUACUUAUGUAGUUGCCCAAGGUUCUAAGAACCAAAUCUGUUCUUUUUACUACGGUAAGAAUUACUGUUGUGUUUUUUAUGUGGAAAGUGAGGCUAACAUCACAACUACAGAAUUAAGAUAAAAAUUUAGUUUGAAAGACAAGUUACUGCAGAGGUAUUCUCAUUAGAAAUCCAGUGAGACAUUAGGCAUUGACCUGUGACCCACCAUAUCCAAUAUUACUUUUAUUUCUUGUUCAGUACUUGAUGCUUUAAUAUCCGUUUUCUAGAUUAAUUCUAGCAUGGGCUGUCAGAUUGGAUGGAGAAUUCUGUGUGUUUUUGGGUGGUUUGGAUUUGUAAAAUUUCAGAUUUUGCCUGGAAUGCUCCAUUAUUUCUAAUUAUUCCCUUUUUUCUGUUAUGAGAGUGAAAUUUACUUCUUCCUGUACCAGACAGAAUAAAUGGGCUGAUGUGCUGAAGGUUGGAAAGGAUGGAAUUCACACCUCAAAACCUAUGGGCAAGGUGUGUGCAUGUCCCGAGCACAGUCAUCAGAAAUUUUUCUCUUAGUGGUACCCGUCGGGGCAGCUCAGGCGCCCUCUGGUGCCACGCACUCAUAGCGCUGGUAUAAAGGAUUCAGCUGGCGACGCACCCCCUCAGUUUUUUCUUUACCGCCAGUUCCGGUGUUGAGGGGUAGCAGGGCGGCUCGUGGAAUGGACAUUUGUAAAACAUCUCAAAGAACAACUGUUAUGGAGAGGCAAUUGAGGAAACGGAUAGACGUGAAAAAACAGACCUGUUAUCCAUCCAAGGGUGGAAAGCUGAUAUUGCUGCAAGAUAGCAAAGUUUUGCUGUUUCCGAUAUAAUAAGGACUCAAGAAUGACCUGCAGCAACAACCGCAUGGGCAAGACUCCACAAUAGGAAGCCCAGAUAGAGAACCGCUUCCAUUCUGAGAGGUUGCAAACAGAUCUACCCGGGGAGCCCUCCACUGCUGAAAAAUAACCCUCAUGAUGUCCGGACGAAGGGAUCACUCAUGGUGAUUGCAGAAAGACCUACUGAGGAGAUCUGCCAGCUCGUUCUCUGCUCCCUGCAGAUGGAAAUCCUUGAGGAAGGCCGCCACUCCCACCAUGCAUUUUGCAAACACCUGCGGGGCUGCCGACAGGCCGAAUGGGAGAACUGUGAAUUGGUAGUGUGUGUGGUUCACAAUGAACCUGAGGAACCUUUGUGGCCUUGAAGAAUCGACAUAUGAAAGUAGAUGUCUCUCAAAUCAAGGGUGGUGUACCAGUCUCCGGGAUCCAAGGAAGGAAUAAUGGAAGCCAGGGAGACCAUGCAGAACUUCAGUUUCUUGAGGUAGCUGUUGAGCUGGCGCAGGUCUGAGACCACCUUUGGCUUUCAGGAUUAGGAAAUAACAGGAGUACAACUCCUUCCCCCUUAGAUUAUGUGUAAUCUCUUUCACAGCUCCCACCUGAAAGAGAAAUUGAAACUUCUGGGCCAGAAGUUGCUCAUGAGAGGGGUCCCUGAAGAGGGACAGUGAGGGAGGGUGGUAAGGAAUGGUAAAAAUGAACUGGAGGUUAUAUCCUACUUUCACAGGCACCAGCUUCUAAUUUCCCACGAAGGUGCUCAACCCCCGCUCAGCCCCACCCCCACUCCACCCCUGCCCCCAAGGCCCCACCUCCACCCUGCCUCUUCCUGGCCCCACUCCACCCC